rnacentral:rRNA from 1 species
GACGAACGCUGGCGGCGUGCCUAAUACAUGCAAGUCGAACGCUGAAGGAGGAGCUUGCUUCUCUGGAUGAGUUGCGAACGGGUGAGUAACGCGUAGGUAACCUGCCUGGUAGCGGGGGAUAACUAUUGGGAACGAUAGCUAAUACCGCAUAAGAGUAGAUGUCGCAUGACAUUUGCUUAAAAGGUGCAAUUGCAUCACUACCAGAUGGACCUGCGUUGUAUUAGCUAGUUGGUGAGGUAACGGCUCACCAAGGCAACGAUACAUAGCCGACCUGAGAGGGUGAUCGGCCACACUGGGACUGAGACACGGCCCAGACUUCUACGGGAGGCAGCAGUAGGGAAUCUUCGGCAAUGGACGGAAGUCUGACCGAGCAACGCCGCGUGAGUGAAGAAGGUUUUCGGAUCGUAAAGCUCUGUUGUAAGAGAAGAACGAGUGUGAGAGUGGAAAGUUCACACUGUGACGGUAUCUUACCAGAAAGGGACGGCUAACUACGUG